GUAGGUGGCAAGCGUUGUCCGGAAUUAUUGGGCGUAAAGCGCGCGCAGGCGGUCCUUUAAGUCUGAUGUGAAAGCCCACGGCUCAACCGUGGAGGGUCAUUGGAAACUGGGGGACUUGAGUGCAGAAGAGAAGAGUGGAAUUCCACGUGUAGCGGUGAAAUGCGUAGAGAUGUGGAGGAACACCAGUGGCGAAGGCGACUCUUUGGUCUGUAACUGACGCUGAGGCGCGAAAGCGUGGGGAGCAAACAGGAUUAGAUACCCUGGUAGUCCACGCCGUAAACGAUGAGUGCUAAGUGUUAGAGGGUUUCCGCCCUUUAGUGCUGCAGCAAACGCAUUAGGCACUCCGCCUGGGAGUACGGCCGCAAGGCUG
rnacentral:rRNA from 1 species